rnacentral:rRNA from 1 species
UACGAAGGAGGCUAGCGUUGUUCGGAAUUACUGGGCGUAAAGCGCGCGCAGGCGGUCCUUCAAGUCAGAGGUGAAAGCCCAGAGCUCAACUCUGGAAUGGCCUUUGAGACUAGAGGACUUGGGUACGGGAGAGGUGAGUGGAAUUCCGAGUGUAGAGGUGAAAUUCGUAGAUAUUCGGAAGAACACCAGUGGCGAAGGCGGCUCACUGGCCCGUUACCGACGCUCAGGCGCGACAGCGUGGGGAGCAAACAGG